CAGGAGUCAGGACGCUCGCACGGCAGUCAGUUAAUUCAAAGACGCCACCCCGCAUAGAUUACUUCCACAACCACUCUGUUUACUCGCGUUUUGAGCUUCUACCUUUUCCCUGGAUCCAUGAGCCUGAAAACACUCCUCAGCUUCUAACAUGGCUUCCACACGGACCUGUGGAAGCAACGAUUGAUAUACCGAUUUCAGAAUGGGAGAAAAAGGGAGCACAUGCUCCUACAUGGGGCAACCCUCGAUAUUUGCCAGAUAGAGAACCUGGCCAGGAUGACUUGACUGUUUCAGAGCAUUUAAAUGCUCUGAAAUGAGAGAAAUAAAAAAAAAAACGCCCUAAUUAUGAAAGGGUCUGCUUGCUGAUGUCCAAGACAUUAUCAGAGCGCAGAAAAAAAGAUAGUUCCCAUUCCAGAUUUGAAAAAAGAUUACCCAUGGCUGUUUGAUGAAGAUGAGAUUUUGUCUGAAUUCACAAGAAUUGCCGAUAUAGAUAUACAAGAAACAAUCAGAAGUGGUUGCCUGAAAGCAUCUGAAGCAGUGCUUCUCCUCAUCAAAAACAAGAAGAAAGUAUCACAGGCAGUACGGGAUAGUUACUCCAGAAUGUCAGAGCCCAAAAAUAAUGAAUCCAGAGUCGAGGUAACAUUACUAGCACUUCCAGAACUCCUCAAUGAAUCAUCCAACAGUUUCCUGGUUCAUGAAGAGGUCCAUAUAUGUGACUCGCCAGUCAUAAUAAAGAAGGAGGAGGAGUAUAUUCUCAGAAUUGACUCAGAGGAUAUUACAAGUAGCAUGACACUACCAGAGCAAUAGUGUGCUUUGUUGCCAGCUUUUAUGUAUUCAAUCUUUCAUACCAAAAGCUCUGCAGAAAAUUUUUGUCCUUCAUUCAAAGGGUAAUCCUGAAGAUUUCGGAUAGUGAAAAAGUAGACAAAUCUAUCUUACUUCUCAAUGAGAAAAUAUAUAACAAAACUACUCCUAAUAUAAAUU